rnacentral:tRNA from 1 species
UGCCGUGUUUGUUACAUAUUUGUGGCCUUCGGAGCCGUAGGUCGUGGGUUCAAAUCCCACCGGGGCCG